rnacentral:rRNA from 1 species
AUACGUAGGGAGCGAGCGUUGUCCGGAAUUACUGGGUGUAAAGGGAGCGUAGGCGGGACGGCAAGUCAGAUGUGAAAUACAUGGGCUCAACCCAUGGGCUGCAUUUGAAACUGCUGUUCUUGAGUGAAGUAGAGGUAAGCGGAAUUCCUGGUGUAGCGGUGAAAUGCGUAGAUAUCAGGAGGAACACCGGUGGCGAAGGCGGCUUACUGGGCUUUUACUGACGCUGAGGCUCGAAAGCGUGGGGAGCAAACAGGAUUAGAUACCCUGGUAGUCCACGCUGUAAACGAUGAUCACUAGGUGUGGGGGGACUGACCCCUUCCGUGCCGCAGUUAACACAAUAAGUGAUCCACCUGGGGAGUACGGCCGCAAGGUUGAAACUUAAAGGAAUUGACGGGG